UACCAGGCAUCAUGGAUUUGAUCUCCUUCCCCAACCCAACUUCCUCCACUGUCCCCUUUGGGCCAUAAAAGUGCGUCAUCUUGACUUCAGCUACAAUAGACCAACAAAUCAGCACCUCCCAGGGAUGACGCAGCCAAAACAGAGAUCAGCUUCAAAGGGAUUUUCAGGAAGAAUCUUCAGAGAGGAACAUCCCUGGAGGGACACUCCUUGGCCUGAAACAGCUUUGCAACUGAAUGCAUCUUGCAGGAAAGAGACUCUAGCUGGUUCCUGUGGAACAUGUGGAGCGUGCAUUUUGAUGUAACAUUUUUCAAAAGAUUCCUCCAGGAGUCCUUCUCAGAGAAGAAAGCACACUUUGUCAAAACAGGUCCUCUUCCUUUAAAAUGUUCCGGUAGUUCUGCCAGAUAAAGCAGUGCAUGUUCAUCUUGGCAAGCACAUCUGGUAUCUAUGCUG